rnacentral:rRNA from 1 species
CUACGGGACGCUGCAGUGGGGAAUAUUGGACAAUGGGGGAAACCCUGAUCCAGCAAUGCCGCGUGUGUGAAGAAGGCCUGCGGGUUGUAAAGCACUUUCGGUUGGGAGGACUGCUUCUAGCACUAAUAUUGUUGGAAGUUGACGUUACCUUCAGAAGAAGCACCGGCUAACUCCGUGCCAGCAGCCGCGGUAAUACGGAGGGUGCAAGCUGUAAUCGGAAUGACUGGGCGUAAAGCGCGCGUAGGCGGCUAGGUCAGUCGGGUGUGAAAGCCCCGGGCUUAACCUGGGAACUGCAUCCGAUACUGUCUAGCUUGAGUACAGGAGAGGAGAGUGGAAUUCCACAUGUAGCGGUGAAAUGCGUAGAUAUGUGGAGGAACACCAAUGGCGAAGGCAGCUCUCUGGCCUGAUACUGACGCUGAGGUGCGAAAGCGUGGGGAGCAAACAGGAUUAGAUACCCCCGUAGUC